CGUGUUGUGAAAUGUUGGGUUAAGUCCCGCAACGAGCGCAACCCUUAUCCUUUGUUGCCAGCGGUUCGGCCGGGAACUCAAAGGAGACUGCCAGUGAUAAACUGGAGGAAGGUGGGGAUGACGUCAAGUCAUCAUGGCCCUUACGACCAGGGCUACACACGUGCUACAAUGGCAUAUACAAAGAGAAGCGACCUCGCGAGAGCAAGCGGACCUCAUAAAGUAUGUCGUAGUCCGGAUUGGAGUCUGCAACUCGACUCCAUGAAGUCGGAAUCGCUAGUAAUCGUAGAUCAGAAUGCUACGGUGAAUACGUUCCCGGGCCUUGUACACACCGCCCGUCACACCAUGGGAGUGGGUUGCAAAAGAAGUAGGUAGCUUAACCUUCGGGAGGGCGCUUACCACUUUGUGAUUCAUGACUGGGGUGAAGUCGUAACAAGGUAACCGUAGGGGAACCUGCGGUUGGAUCACCUCCUUA
rnacentral:rRNA from 1 species